GACGGGGGGUCCUAGCGUUGUUCGGAAUCAUUGGGCGUAAAGCGUGUGCAGGUGGUUUGGUAAGUUGGAUGUGAAAGCCCCGGGCUUAACUCGGGAAGUGCAUUCAAAACUACCUAACUUGAGUAUGGAAGAGGUUCGUGGAAUUCCUGGUGUAGUGGUGAAAUACGUAGAUAUCAGGAGGAACACCGGCGGCGAAGGCGGCGAACUGGUCCUAUACUGACACUCAUACACGAAAGCGUGGGUAGCAAACAGG
rnacentral:rRNA from 1 species